rnacentral:lncRNA from 1 species
ACAGCUCAAUUAAUUUAUUUUCCACUUGUCUAUGGCUGUUUUAGGGCUAAAAUGGCAGAACCAAGGAAUUUUGACCGAGACCGUUACGUCCGCAAGACCUAUUCAUUAAUUAAUUCAUUCAAGACCUAUAUUCAUUCUCUGGCCCCUUACAGUGUGCUGAACCCUGAUCUAGACGUGAGUCAAUCCAAGCAGAGUAAUCUAAACCCUCGAAAAGUGAAGUCUGCCAGAGAGCCACAGUUAUUAGCACUUCCAACAUGUAGAGUUGCUGCCUUGUGGAGCCUUAGACGGUGAUUUGAAAUGGUCGGCAGUAACACCCAGUAAUGAAAGUGUGGAAGGAUAAUUUAUUGACAUGACCUCACUGUAGUAAAGUAUGAGUCCCUAUCUCUGGACGUUGGGAUUGAUCAUGUAAGUUUUUUGGCCAAACGGAUGGUGAUAUACCUGAGACGAGCAGAGGCGUUGUGCGUGCUUGCAUAAUUGCCUUUGCCUGUUCGCACUUCAGUGAGCCUCAGGGAGGACUACACACCCUGUGUAGCCACUGUUUCUACAGCCCGAGUUCCAGAACGAGAAAUGAGGACCGCACGCCCCUGACAAUCGCGGAUCCCCUUGGAGCUGAUCUGAAUCCAGCUGCAGCCUGAGGUCUAUAUUUGUACCCAGCUCUGCCGCUGGGCAGCCACCCUGCUGCUGAUGGGCGUGAGAGUCAAGGCUGUGCUGCUUCGAGUCCACGGGCUUAAGAUGGCUUGUUCUUUGGCAUUAUUGUGUGAAUAAAUGGCAAGUACAGGUGAUCUCCAGAGAUUCUUUUUCUUACUCCUUAUAGAUACAAUGACUAUGAAAAUUCCUCAAAGCAUUCCUUCUCAUAAGUGUCUCCAACAGUAUUUUGCAAUGUAAUGUGGAUAUUUAGUGCUUUCAACUAAACGACCUUUCUCUGCAUUGGAAGAACUGAAUUAGCUAAAAAAAAAAAAAAAAAAAAAGAAGCAUGUUCAAAGUGAAUUCUAGAUAUUAUAGGUAUUAGUUUCUGUCCUUUUGAUUUAAAGGCUGACAAUAUAUUGUGCAUUUGAAAUUUGGGAAUUUGAUAUGUAGGGGGAUUCUGAGACUUUGUAGGAAGCGAAUUUGGUGUGAAGCUCAGUUUCCAGAAAUGCUGUGUUUUAAAUAAUUCUUCUCUGAAGUGCAAGCAAACCUUUUACUCAUAAGCUUUCUAAUUUUCUAAGUAGAAAAAUAUUUUUUUUUCAUAUCACAAAGAAUGUAAGUCUGAGGAACAGUUAGUUCCAAACUGCCUGCUGCUUUCCAGCUAGGAUUGUGUGCAGUUUAUGUCAAAACACUUCAGCAAAGAAAUACAAAUACAGACUAAUGUUUGACUUCUUUUGUUGUGUUGAACUGGAGCCAGCAAAAGUAUUUAUAUAUAAAUCCACUUGUGAAACACAUAACCCUCUCAAUGUGACUUAUAUGUUUAAGGCUUAAAGUGAAUUUGGGUUGAUUGACAGAAGCUACCACUCUUAAAAUGUCGCCAUGUCUAACUCUGCUUAUGUGGUAAUUUUUAAAUGCAUUCUUUUCACUGAGGGACGUUUACCUUGUGAACACUUAUUUGCCCUACUGUGUGGACUGUGAAGUAUAAUCCUUCAGUACACCCAUGCUCACUCUUCUCUUUAGAAACCUGAAGGAAACAAAUUCCCCAAACCCCAAGUAUAUGCCUAAAAUAUCUCCUUGGAAAUAGCCUGAGGGCAAAAUAGAUGACUUUGCCAUUUCAAACACUUGAGCAUAAUGUAGGUAUAAAAGUGAGUCCUGUCAUAGGUGUCAGAUAUUUUCCUUCUCUCUCUAACAGUGAUUUGCUACAAAACCCUGUUUUCUGCUUGCUCUUUCUGUGAGGAACUAAGACAUGGGUUUUGAGUCUAAGAUUUUGAGGAGCUUCUGUGGACGAAGCAAUGUAAAAGACCACAGACACCUCAGAUGUCAGAGACACCGUGUAGGAAUGUUGUGUCUCCAUUUUUCAAAAGCUCUGUCCUCCCAUUUUGUUGAACUUUAGUACCUUGUUUAAAUUUUUAUUGCAUUCCCACAUAGUGUUAUGAAUAAAUAUAUAAGAAAUGCCACAACACAUUAGGCCAAUGGUCCAUCUUGCCUGCCUCUGAGGGACGUUUUGUAGGGAGCUAAAGUUGUCUUUCUUGACGUUACUCUGAAAACAUUAGGGAUCUGCUGCACACAUUCCUCACCCCCCCCCCCCCCUUAAUAUUCCAUUACAGAGCCAGCAUCUGAGAAUUUUCCUAAACCUUUAAAAACUUAUUUAUAGUUUUGCCCUUUGUUAUUCUUUUGGGGCCAUAAGAUCACUGCAUAAUUUGUAUUAAAAAAUGACCUCCUUUGAGUUUCAAGAGGUGGUUCCUGAAGUCCAGCAUUUUAAAAUUGGAUGAAUAAGUUUUUGAUUAGAAAAGCCACAUCUUCACAAUUUCCUAGAAUAUUGUUAUAUGGUAGGUUGGUUCUAGGGGCUUCCCAGGUGGUGCAGUGGUAAAGAAUCUGCCUGCAAUGCAGGAGACACAAGAACUGCGUCAACCCCUGGGUUGGGAAGAUCUCCUGCAGAAGGGAGUGGAAGCCCACUUCAGUAUUCUUGUCUGGACAAUCCCAUCGACAGAGGAGCCCAGUGGACUACAGUUCACGGGGCUGCAGAGUCAGGCACAACUGGGCGAGCAUGAGCAUCCUUCCUCCCUUCCACGCUGCUUCUAAGGGGAUUCCCAGUGGCUCCCUCCCCUUAUGUCUGAGCUUGCCCUUGUAACUUGCUUCUAACGUAUACAAUAUACCACACGUGAAAGAAAGUGAAAGUGAAGUCGCUCAGUUGUGUCCAACUCUAUGACCCCAUGGACUGUAGCCUACCAGGCUCCUCUGUCCAUGGGAUUUUCCAGGCAAGAGUACUGGAGUGGGUUUCCAUGUCCUUCUCCAGGGGAUCUUCCUGACCCAGGGAUCGAAACUGCAUCUCCUGCAUUGCAGGCAGACACUUCACCAUCUGAGAUACUAGGAAGCCACCAUAAGUGAUGACAUGUCAAUUUUUUAAGAUUGGGUUAUAAAAUCUGUGACUUCCAUACUGCUUACACACACUCUCUCCUUCUGGGUGCUUGCUCUAAGGAAGCAAACUGCAUGUUGUAAGCUGCCUUGUGAUGGGGUCUACAUGGCACAGACCUGAGGGCGGCCUCUGGCCAACAAUCAGAAAGGAACUGAGGACUACAGUCCAGCAGCCCUUGAGAAUCAGAUCCUGCCAACAAUAAUAUGGAUACCGAUUCUUCCCUUGCUAUACCUUUGGAUGAGGCAACAGACCGAGAUGACACCAUGACUGCAACCUUGUAGGAAACCUGGGAAGCAAGUUGGGGAUCACUGAGGGCCUUUCAGAAGCAGCCUAUCAAGUAAUUAAUGAGACUGUGAAGGUCUUUGUCUCAAUUAAUUUUGAUUAUAUCUUUGAGAUACUCCUAUAAGAUCCUACUAGUUUGCCAUAUUGAUCCUCCAAAAUAUUUUUAUCUUGGCAAUUCUAAGACAAGUUCCCCCUCUCAGGUCAUUUGUGUGGCUUAAAAAUAAUGUAAGUGUGAUCCUCACAGACUUUGAUGUACGCCUACGUAUAUUACUUAGCUAUUUCUGGGUGACGGACUAUCUUAACACUGAUGGCUUAAACCAUUAACUAUUUGUUUUGUUCCUGAUUCUGUGUGUUGGCCAGUGGUUGGGCUCCGCUGCGUAUUCUGACUUCAGCCCGACUUCCUCUUGAUCUGCCAUCCUCUGAGGUCACCUGGCUGCUUUUGCUGAUCUUGAAUAUAUUCUCUCACUUCUCUGAGGCCUCAGCUGGGAUUGACCCAUGGACUCAGCUGUGUUCCAUGUGAUCACGAUCCAGCAAGCUAUCCAAGGCUUGUUCACACAGCAGUAUCAGCACCCCAGGAUAAUAAACAGGAGCAGGGCUCCUUGAGUCCUAGACUUAGGACUGAAGCAUCUGUCCCUCCCACCAUGCUCUAUUGGCCAGUCCAAACUCACGCGGCGGGGAGGAGACUCUGCCUCUUCUUGGGAGGAAAUGCUAAGUCAGUU